AUUUUCAGGAGAAUUUUCAAGUCUACCUUAAAAUUAAUAGAUUCUUAACAAGAUU
rnacentral:misc_RNA from 2 species